UAGAAGUCCAACUCUUGCUUAAGUAUUUAUUCAGUCUAAAGGUAAUGAACUGACCCUUUAUAAUCUAACAAGUCUGUUAAGAUUCAACAGAAGUAAAGAUUAAGUAACCACUUUCAUACUCUGAAGAAGGGUAUAAACAUUUGAAGGUCAAUAAAGAAGCACAUUUUUAAAUCACUCUUUGCCAAAACUGAGAAAGGAUCUUCUCUGAAAUCAGUUAAUGAUAAAUGCCAGUACCCUAAUCUGGAAGUCCUGGGGAAAGACACCAGGAAAAACAUAAGAAAACUGUUAGAAUCACCUGAGGUAAGUUAACAAGUUUUCCUUUUAGGAAAGGCACCUAAGAAUUGGAACAGCACAGAGUCCAUCCUCCUAAAUGAGUAACUGUGUAUUUUAACUUUGCCACAAAGUACCAAGGACACUAUGCUUUCAUUAAUUUUAGUGGUUUAAUAACUGUUUCAUGUGUAUAGCACUGGGUACCACUUAUUGUGA
rnacentral:lncRNA from 1 species